ACGUGCCUCCCUGCAAGCUGUUGGAGGCAAAACGAGUUCUAAGUAGCUCAAUCGCAUCCUCUGAGGAAAGUCCCUGGACCUGUGGCCUGAAAGAGGCAUCUUGUAAUGAGGUACUCUGUAUCCGCGUCGUGCAUUCAAGCUACGACCACGUGACGAGCGCGCGAUGGGUACAGACUUGUCGCUGUACUAAGUAAUGCUUCGUUAACGCAACAGGGCUUACGCAGGAGGCAAC
rnacentral:RNase_MRP_RNA from 1 species